rnacentral:rRNA from 1 species
GACGAACGCUGGCGGCGUGCUUAACACAUGCAAGUCGAACGAAAAGGCCCUGCUUGCAGGUUACUCGAGUUGCCAACGGGUGAGUAACACGUGGGUGAUCUGCCCUGCACUUCGGGUUAGGCCUGGUCAACUGGGUGUAAUACCUGAUAGAAGCCAUUUUUAGUGGGAUGGUUGAAAAGUUUUUUCGGUUUUGGCUGAGCUCUCGGCCUAUCAGCUUGUUGGUGGGGUAAUGUCGUACCGAGGCGGCGACGGGUAGCCGGCCUGAGAGGCUGGACGGCCACAUUGGGACCGAGAGACGGCACAGACUGCUAAGGGAGGGAGAAGUGGGGAAUAUUGAACAAGGGGCGCAAGCCUGAUGAAGAGACGCCGCGGGGGGGAUGACGGUCUUAGGGUUGUAAAACACAUUCGCUAGGGACGAAGCUUUUUGUGACGGUACCUAGACAAGAAGCAACGGCUAACUACGUG